ACGUAGGGUGCAGGCGUUAAUCGGAAUUACUGGGCGUAAAGCGUGCGCAGGCGGUCUGCUAAGAGAGAUGUGAAAUCCCCGGGCUUAACCUGGGAACUGCGUUUCUAACUGGCAGGCUUGAGUGUGGCAGAGGGGGGUGGAAUUCCACGUGUAGCAGUGAAAUGCGUAGAGAUGUGGAGGAACACCGAUGGCGAAGGCGGCAUCCUGGACCGGUAUUGACGCUGAGGCGCGAUAGCCAGGGGAGCAAACGGGA
rnacentral:rRNA from 1 species